UAAAUUAGUCUUGUCUCUGUAUGCACAGUUUGUAUACCCACCUGGAACAUAUUCCAAAGAGUCUGUUACUAAGGAAUGUACUCAGUUCAAGUUUGAACAAUUGAAGUGGAAUAAUCAUAGAUAGAAUAAUUAUCUUAAAGGUCCUGAGAGUUUAAAACAACAAUACUACGAAGAGAGAGCUGGCCCAAGAACAGACUUGAGGAAGAAGGAAAAAUCCACAGCCACUACAGAGAGCCUUUUGUUCACCAGAGUUGACUCAGACAAUUCCAGAAAGGGGCACCUUGCUGAUUAUGGCUGUCCCAGAAGGAAGCAGCCAGGACAUCUCCAUAUGGAGGGAAAGAUGGCUUUUAUGUAGAACCAAAAUGAAAGACUUUGCUUGUAGAGUCAACUGUAAUAAGGAACACAACAGCCAGUACACAUAA
rnacentral:lncRNA from 1 species